rnacentral:rRNA from 1 species
UGAGCAAUCUGCCCUUCUCAUCGGAAUAAGCGUUGGAAACGACGUCUAAUGCCGAAUACGACCUCCUUUCGCAUGAUCGGAGGUGGAAAGCUCCGGCGGAGAAGGAUGAGCUCGCGGCCUAUCAGCUAGUUGGUGUGGGUAAUGGCCCACAAGGCGACGACGGGUAGCCGGCCUGAGAGGGUGACCGGCCACACGUGGGACUGAGACACCGGCCCAGACCUCCGUACGGGAGCA